AUUGAACGCUGGCGGCAGGCUUAACACAUGCAAGUCGAGCGGGGUGAUGGUGCUUGCACUAUCACUUAGCGGCGGACGGGUGAGUAAUGCUUAGGAAUCUGCCUAUUAGUGGGGGACAACAUCUCGAAAGGGAUGCUAAUACCGCAUACGUCCUACGGGAGAAAGCAGGGGAUCACUUGUGACCUUGCGCUAAUAGAUGAGCCUGAGUCGGAUUAGCUAGUUGGUGGGGUAAAGGCCUACCAAGGCGACGAUCUGGAGCGGGUCUGAGAGGAUGAUCCGCCACACUGGGACUGAGACACGGCCCAGAAUCCUACGGGAGGCAGCAGUGGGGAAUAUUGGACAAUGGGGGGAACCCUGAUCCAGCCAUGCCGCGUGUGUGAAGAAGGCCUUAUGGUUGUAAAGCACUUUAAGCGAGGAGGAGGCUCUUUUUGUUAAUACCCAAGAUGAGUGGACGUUACUCGCAGAAUAAGCACCGGCUAACUCUGUGCCAGCCGCCGCAGUAA
rnacentral:rRNA from 1 species